GACGAACGCUGGCGGCGUGCCUAAUACAUGCAAGUAGAACGCUGAAGGAGGAGCUUGCUUCUCCGGAUGAGUUGCGAACGGGUGAGUAACGCGUAGGUAACCUGCCUGGUAGCGGGGGAUAACUAUUGGAAACGAUAGCUAAUACCGCAUAACAGUAGAUGUUGCAUGACAUUUGCUUAAAAGUUGCAAUUGCAUCACUACCAGAUGGACCUGCGUUGUUUUAGCUAGUUGGUGAGGUAACGGCUCACCAAGGCGACGAUACAUAGCCGACCUGAGAGGGGGAUCGGCCACACUGGGAGUGAGACACGGCCCAGAGUCCUACGGGAGGCAGCAGUAGGGAAGCUUCGGAGAUGGACGGAAGUCUGACCGAGCAACGCCGCGUGGGUGAAGAAGGUUUUCGGAUCGUAAAGCUCUGUUGUAAGAGAAGAACGAGUGUGAGAGUGGAAAGUUCAGACUGUGACGGUAUCUUACCAGAAAGGGACGGCUAACUGCG
rnacentral:rRNA from 1 species